UACAGAGGGGGCAAGCGUUGUUCGGAAUUACUGGGCGUAAAGGGCGCGUAGGCGGCCUGUUAAGUCGAACGUGAAAUCCCCGGGCUCAACCCGGGAACUGCGUCCGAUACUGGCAGGCUUGAAUCCGGGAGAGGGAUGCGGAAUUCCAGGUGUAGCGGUGAAAUGCGUAGAUAUCUGGAGGAACGCCGGUGGCGAAGGCGACAUCCUGGACCGGCAUUGACGCUGAGGCGCGAAAGCCAGGGGAGCAAACAGG
rnacentral:rRNA from 1 species